AAUAUAAAAACAAAAUCUAUGUGGCAGGUUUUAAUUGGCCAAGUGACUUGUGAUUUAUAAGAUAAAGGAUAACAGAGAUUAUCAGCCUUACCAAAAAAAACUCAGAGAUUAUCAAAGUCAAAAAUUUAAGAAAGUUUCCCCAAAGUGCUCUUCCUUACAAACACAUAAUCACGAUACAAAUAGAUCUAACCAUCAAGCAGAAGAUAAAAAACAACCGAAUCAACAAGCAAACCAAGACCAUGAAAGUAUAAAUUGAUUAAACUCAGAGAAACAAUUAACCAAAAGAAACUCAUGUUAAGAAUGUUGGAUGUGGCUUACUUAAGUAUGGUAGUUGUGUUGUUUUAGUUCAUGAAGACCUUGUAACCAAAAGAACAUCUU
rnacentral:sRNA from 1 species